CAAUGUAAUGUUCAUAGAAAUAGUGUUUUUUAACCACUUUCUUUCGUAUUGUUUAUUACUUUUGGUGUUAUCUCCCGUAGUUGUCAUGAGCUAUUUUUUGACCCAAAUUUGAGGAUGUAGAUCAAGCUGAACCAAAGGCAUUUACAUCAAAUUAGGAAUAUGUUGGUCAAGCACCUGCUGUACAUAGAACAACAAUCCAUUACAGCUUUGACUAUGCCGAGCAGGUCUUCUACCUAUACUAGGCACAGCAGGAGUGCCCUGCUUGGAAGUGUUCUGUAAAUCAUAUGGUUCACAGAUAUCUCAGUGAUAAGGGUUUAGCUGUUAUGUGGCCAAUGGUGUGGUACCUCAUUUUCAACAUCAUCCAUAUAGAGAAGACUCUGCAUACCUGCACAUUGACAACUGUGUUUGGUGGAAUAAAAACAAUGCAGUCAUUGGGGUCUGAUGUAUUCUGAAGGGAGAGACACAGCAUUUACUUAAAUGGAAGCAGGUGACAUAAAGUUCAGUCAUGUGUGAGAUUUGGUCUGUGGAAGACCAAAUGGAGGCAGCACUUUGUGGAUUGAUGACCUUGGCAAACUGGUUAUAUUCUUUGACUGGUUGGAGUACACCAAGUGACCCCUGAAGUCCAUUCCAAACUUGAGGAAAUAUCAUCACUUCAGAACUUCAGCUAACAACCCAGUGAGUGCAUUCAUGAGAGAGCAUGCCAAGGACAGUGAGAUUGAAGUUAAAAUUGACAAGCCCACAAAAAUGGCUUUUCCUUGGAGAGUACCCUGAACGCAUCCAACUAAAAGGACUUAAUGCAAAAAGGCUCUGAUCCUUUAAAUAAGUGAAAACACUAAUAUACUGAUAUGUGAUCUUUAUAAACUAAAUAUAAGAUUUAAAAAUGAGCCCGUUACUGAGCUGAUGAAAACGUGCAUCAAUAUUUUAUUGACAGUUAUUAAUUCAAUAGGAACAUGUUCAUGUGAAAUGAAGCUACCAGUGAUUUUGAGUGAAAAACUGUGGUUUUAGCAAAUGAUUGAUAGAAGGGUGCUACACCCUGUCUUUUGUUGGUAGAGCCCCUCUGCCAUAAUGUAGACCACUAUAUGUUUAUUAUUAAUACAAACUUAAAACAAUCUGGCAGUUGAAGCCUAUAAAUGCUUGAAUUGAAGACAUUUAUAGUAUUGUUUGUCAAUAUUAGUUACUUCACAGCCUGAUAAAAUGUACCUUAGCAACCUUUCAGUUUUUCUUCAAUAUCUUUAUUUUUAAAACCUUCCUGAACCCUAUAAAAAUGUUCAGCUUUAACUUUUACCUAUGAGUAAGCAUCGAAAAUAUAAUUUGUCAUGUACUAAUGUGACCAAUUGCAUACCUCUUGAAACUACAUAAUGACGUGUACAUGCUAAGUAGUUAGUAUGUUACAUAAAUUGUUUUCAUUUUUGUAAAAUGUAAAUGUGCCCAUUUAUUAACUGAUCUAAUUUUAUAAUGGUGUAAAUUGUGUAGGAUUGUUAUGUUUCACAUUUGAGGUAAAUUGGUAAAGUUGGUGUGAUUAUAAUCAUGUUUGUGGCCUGUUGCCAUGGUAACCAGGAUAAAAAACAAACUCUUAAAUACCAUUCAAAUAAGAUAAAUUAUAGUAAAUUACAGGGGUAACAUACUUUAACUUCUAGAUAUACAUUGGUUUGUAUUAGGUGCAAGUUCCAACCUAAUGUCAAUUUAUUGUGAAAAAUUGCCAAUAAACUACGGUACUUGGCGAACAGUUUUUAUUUAUUCGGAUUUUUUUAUGUCAAAUACAUACACCAUUUACAGUAAGGUUUGAGGAUAUCAAUUAACAGAUCAAUUAUUAUUGAAUGCUUCAUAUGGCAUUUAUUGUAUAUUUAAAUGAAAAUUUAACCCCAAAACGCCUUUUUCAAUAAAGGUUGCCAUGGUAACCAAUUAAUUUUCAUUUAUUUUCUCAAUAAUAAUUUAGAAUGGUUUUGAAAAUAUAUUGUUGUCGUUAUAAUGUGGGAAAUGUUUAUAUUGUAGUGAUGAAUAUUUAUUGCAUCUGUGAAUACAAAUGUUUCAAUAAAUUCUUGAACUUUA